GACGAACGCUGGCGGCGUGCUUAACACAUGCAAGUCGUACGGUAAGGCCCUUUCGGGGGUACACGAGUGGCGAACGGGUGAGUAACACGUGAGUAACCUGCCCACCACUUUGGGAUAACGCUAGGAAACUGGUGCUAAUACUGGAUAUGUGCUCCUGCUGCAUGGUGGGGGUUGGAAAGCUCCGGCGGGUGUGGAUGGACUCGCGGCCUAUCAGCUUGGUGGUGGGGUAGUGGCCUACCAAGGCGGCGACGGGUAGCCGGCCUGAGAGGGUGACCGGCCACAUUGGGACUGAGGUACGGCCCAGACUCCUACGGGAGGCAGCAGGGGGGAAUAUUGCACAAUGGGCGCAAGCCUGAUGCAGCAACGCCGCGGGCGGGAUGACGGCCUUCGGGUUGUAAACCGCUUUCAGCAGGGACGAAGCUGUUUGUGACGGUACCUGCAGAAGAAGCACCGGCUAACUACGUG
rnacentral:rRNA from 1 species